GACCUCGUAGCUCAGUUGGCAGAGCAUUGGAGUAGUAUCCCAAAGUCACGGGUUUGACUCCCACCGUGGUCA